GGCGGAUGUAGCCAAGUGGUACAAGGC
rnacentral:tRNA from 1 species